UUCCCACACGAGCUCAACUUUGGUGGUUGACAGUUUUCUGUCCAUGCCAAGAGCCCCUUUGGUGUAGGACAUGCCACACACAUCCCAUUUUGGCACAAGCCAAAAUUACCACAUUUUGAUGGCAAAGCACAUUUUUCUGUUUCAAAAUUAUACUCCGAAAGAAAGUGUAGGUCUCCAGCCAUCUAUCAAAUCUGACAUUGUCAUAGUAGGUAUAACUGUAUAAGCCUUCACAUUGCCAUCAGAUUCAAUCCUCAGAAAAGAGUAUGUUGCAUUGUAAUUUAUUGUACUGAGCUCUUGAGCUGCAUGGGUUUUGACAAAAGUCCAUUCCUAUUAAGUGGCAUGUCAUAUCCCUGGUCAUUGUGACUGUGGAAUCCUAAUUCCUAACCAAAGAACUGCUUAAUAAUUCUAACAAUGUCUGACAGCCCCAACAAAGCUAUGUACCUGGUCCAUCUUCAAAUGGGCUUAGCAGGUUGUAGAUAAAUGGAUCCGCUGCCUCACAAGUUUCAUUUAAAUUCAUUUCACAGGUUUUUUUUUUUUUUUUUGAUAAGUGGGAGGUCUCUGGAUUUCUCAUUUAUAUUUUUUCCCUCCUACCAUCUGCCCAUCUCUUUCCCCUUCCAUGUUAGAGUAAAAUGGUCUUUUCAACUUGAGGUAUCAAACUUUGGUUUGAGGAAAGGAAAAUGAAUGGUUUAUAAACUUGGACUCAUUGGCUAUUCAAUAAAUUGGAUAAACCAUUCUAGAUCAGUGGAUUUGGAUUUCGACUAAAAGUUAGUUGAGACAGUUCUUGAACUCAGGUUGUGACACAACUUUUGUUACGCCAUAUUUUAAUUUAAUCACAUCAUAUAUGCAACUUAAUGCAGGUUUGCAAAAAAUUAUUAUAGGCAAAAACUUUUUUUAUCAACUUUAAUUGAGAAAAAUAAGAAUAUCAUGUGUAGGAAGAGCUACAAUGCUCGAUUGGUAUAGAAAAACAUUAUUGAUCUAGAAAAUAUUAGAUAAGACAUAUAAGUAGACAUGCGUGCAUUCCGGUUUAAUCUAUCAAAAGGGCCUCAUAGAAUAAGAAAAGAAAAGCAAAACACGAAUCUGGGCUGCUUGGAUUUAUUGCAAAUACGAUACAAGUCUUGCGAUCAAACCAGAAGAACCAUAAUUAAUACAAUAUUGCAGAAGCUCAACAAGAAGCUUCUUUAUUCGGCACAUAAAACUCUCAAAGCAUACUUAAUGCUAUGCUAACAAUUAUCCAAACCAAGUUUUAACUUUUAAUAGUUUUUUUUCCUUAAGUUAAGGCUUUCCAUAAAAUCAAUAUUUGACAUAGGCACUAGUGGUGUUGACGUCUUUGACGAGAGUCAAAAGCACCGGCAUAAGCAAGCACUUUGAACUAUCUUGCUUGUAGACAAAUCCUUUGCAAUUGCAAUCAUUGGUGCACUUGUCUCUGCAUGCUCCAAAUUCCAUUUCGACUUCUUGACUAUCAGAAGACCACUGGUGGUUCAAGAAGGAUUGCACCCCAUCAAGCUUGAAAUAUUUUGCCUUAGGUUUCUUCCCACACGAGCCCAACUUUGGUGGUUGACAAUUUUCUGUCCAUGCCAAGAGCCCUUUUGGUGUAGGACAUGCCACACACAUCCCAUUUUGGCACAAUCCAAAAUUACCACAUUUUGUUGGCAAAGCACAUUCUGUUGCCAAAUUACUUGGAAAGAAAGUAUAGGUCUGCAUCCAUCUAUCAAAUCUGACUUUGUCAUUGUAAGUAUAAGCCUUGACAUUGCCAUCAGUUUCAAGCCUCAGAAAAGAGUAUGUUGCGUUGUAAUUUAUUUUACUGAGUUGUUGAAUCCCAUCAACCUGUGGUUUUGGCGCUGGCGAUUCGAAUAUUUCAAAGAUAAGGUUCCAAGCUGUUGGAGUAGGCUCCCACGUCGAAGGUUGGGUGUUAAACCUUACAGUACUUCCAAAAUUCCCCGGCCAACCAUUGUAGCGAACUUGUUGGCCAGCGUUGUUUAGAUACAAGAGGAGGCCAUCAUCUCCAAGCACUAAGCUGUACUUUCGAUCGGAGCCAUCAACAUCAGAAGUUCGACUGACAAGCUUGUUUACGCCACUCCCGCGAAGGGACUGCCCAACUAGUAACGAAUCAACUGGAUAAUCAAAGCUUUGCCAAAUGAACUUUCCCUUUGUAUCAUACAGCACAAGGUUGCCAUUCUGGAGUAAUUUGAUGCCCGUGACACCCUUGUUAGCCGUGUUGGUUUGCCACACAAGGCCGCCGUCAGAGUCGGCUAGGACCAAGUUUCCAUCCCGGCCGAAAGAAAGGGUGGCGUUUUCUUUCACGGGGUGGUUGCGGUUGGCGUCCCAAACCCAUCGCAUUAGGCCCUCGUCAUCUGGGAUGCCAACACGAAUGCCAAGCACGAAAGAAGUUGGGGUGGUGUUGUAGAAACACAGUCUGAAGGGGAAUGUGUAGAAAUCAUAGACAUCAUUGGUUAUGAUGCGAUAAGUUGCCCCAUACUCAGCUGUGGGUACGAAAUUUUGGAAUUCUCCCAGUGGACCUGUGUUGACAAUUUUGAAGGUAUUGUUUGUUGGCACUUGAGCUCUGGUGCUAAUGGCCAAGAAACAGAGGAGGAGGAGAAUGCUAAGACAGGGUGAAAAUGGAAAGGUACGACGAGCCAUUGGAAUUCUUUUUGUGCAAUAAGGAAUAAAGGGCAAGCUAAUCAGUUGGAAAUGGAAUGAGAGAUAUGAAGUGGGUUGUAACCAUUUGGUAUUUAUAGAUUUUUUUUAUUGGUUUUUCUGCAUACAAUUGUUGAAAUUUGAAAACUGAUCAAAAAAAUAUUGAAAAUUGAAAUUUGAAUUUCAACGUCAAAGUUGGUAACCUGCAAACAAGAUUGAGCAUCCAUCUAGUAACAUAGUAUUACAUAAUUUUGUUCUAUGUCGUUUUGGUUGUCAAAUGAUUAUAAUGUACAACACAAUUUUUUAUAAGGGAAAACGAAACAAAUAAUCCCUUACAUAUUACUUAUUUAAUCAUUCACAUACAUAAAAAUGCAAAUUCAUCCUUUAAAUAUAUAAGGGAUAAUUUUAGAAACCUCCCUGAGGUUUCUAAUAAUUUCACAAAGCUCCCCUUAAUAUUUCAAAAUUACACAUACCUCCCCUAUUGCUGUAAAAGUACUCUACUACCCCUAUAUAGGAUACUUAAUGACUUUUUCUUUUUGGAAAUUUCAGAAAUUUCAAGAAAAACUAAAAUUGACUUGUUUUUUCUCUCUCUCUCUCUCUCUACCUUACUCUUUCUUCCAUUUCCUUUUUUGCUAAAUUCCUACCACUCAUUCCUCUCUACCUAAUAUUCUUCCUCCAAUUCACGACCAAAUUCUAUCUAUUAUCCCUUACCCGUAUUUAUCCCCCUCCUUCCCUUUUUCUUCUUCUUCUUUUAUCUCUAUUCUCAUCUCUUUUUUGCAAAUAUGAUCAAGUUCAUCCUUUUUAUCCUUUUAAUUCUAAGUGUAAUGGGUUUGAUUUUUCUGCGUCUAUUUAUUUUAUCCAAUGUUAGUUGAUUAUGGGUGAUAAAACUUAGUGAUGUCAAAAGUCAAGAAUUUGAGGGAUGGAUGUGCUUUAGAAAUGGGUUGUCGAAAAAAAAAAGAAGGCUGCAAAAAGAGAAAGACGAGAGAUCUGUGCUAUUGAUUGUUGAUGAAGUGUUAGUUUUGGGUAAAAGUUUGAGACUGAGUUUUAUCCAAUUUAGCACCAAGUGACGGAUUUAAUUAACUUGUGUAGUAAAUGUAGCCAUGUAGGGGUUGGGUUAUUGGACAUAAAUUAGGCUAUAGUGUUUUAAGUGCUAGAAUUAUUGAAAUUUAUUUUGAUUUAAAUUGGGGUGUUUGCUUGGCUUUUGGGGUGGAGUUGUUUGGAAUAAGGCAAUCAUCAUAGUUGAAUUUUUCUCCAAACUUUUAUUUUUGGUAGAAAGAGUUUGUUGGCUCUGGUGUUAGAAGAAAAGCAAUCAACAGAGCUCUUUUAUUUUUCCUUUUUAUCUUUUUGACAAAAAGGGUAGUUUAGGAUAUUUGAAGGAAUUGGUAGCCUAUUGGACAUAUUUUGAAGCAUAAAUAGUGAAAGCAAGGUAGGUGUGUGUAAUUUUUGAAACCUAAGGGGAGCUUCUUGUAAUUGUUAGAGACCUCAAGGGAGGUUUAUGAAAUUAUCCCAAUAUAUAAAUUGCAUCAUGUUUGUCUGAAAAUUCAUUUUAGGAAAUUCUUUUUUUACCUGAAAACGCCAUGUGGCUACCAAAUGAAAUAUUUCAAAGAUAAAAAAGACAUUACAUACUCAUGAUUUAUCCAUUUUUUUUUGCCUUUUUUCCUCCUCUGUUUUUGCUUCACCAACAUUCAAACAGCAAAUCCUAGAUCCACCACCAUAGUCCGCAAUUUCCAGAUAACAAACACUAUCAAAUAUUGUUUAAUAUCCAGAAAUUGUAAAUUACGGAGAUUUUGCUACAAAAGCCUCAUUGCUGCCGCUAUAACAAGACAAACGCCGCUAUAGUUUGAUAAGCAUACAGAAUAGAGGAUUUGUAUGCUAAUUAAUUUUCUUUUUGUUUUCUGAAAAAGGAAUAAUAUUAAUCAUUCGAUCAUGCAAUUCUAAUAGUGCUUAAAUAAUUAGAUUAGAUUGUGGUGCGAUUGGUAUAUGUCAGGAAUGAAUUUGCAUCAUUUUGAUAAUGAGCGAUUAAAUAACUACAAAUGCGACUACUUGUAUUUUUUUUUUUUACAAUAUCGCAACACAUCAUCUGUCCCGCUUUUUAUUUCACUCCAUAUCUCAGCUUUUAUUAUAGUGUCAUUUUUCUUUCACAAACAUCUUAUUCUACUUCUUUUUUAUUUCCUUAAGUUCCAAUAACUACUAACAUAUUGUAAAACACAAAUUUAAUCAUACAAAAAAAAAACAAAAUAUCACUAAAAAAAUGAGAUUUUUAUGAUUUUUUUUGUUGUACUUUUUGUUUUUCUAUUAAGGAAAAUGAUCGGUUUCAUUCUUCACAUUUCACAAAAAUAUUCUUUUCAUCCCUCACUUAAAAACCGAAGCAAUAUCGCCCUUGACAUUUAAAAACUGAAGUUCUUACAUCCCUGAACCCAAAUUUCAAUGUGAAUCAAACUACCAAUCAACUUGAUUACAAAUUUUGGGGAUGUAAUUGGUAGAUCACUUGGUUAACUCACCUUGAUAUUCAUGUAAAAUUUAACGAACCCAAAAAUAAAAAAUAAAAAAUUAUAACAUAAAAAAGAAAUAUUAAUCUUUCCUACAUUAUCAUUAUAUACACUGACGGUGACGGUUUUAUGUACCGCCAUAUCAUUUCAAUUUAAAUUUAAACACCAAAUUUUAUAUUUAUGAUACGCAUCUAGAUUCGCAAGCGGAUAUACAAACGGUGUAUGAAAAGAUUUAUCCAAAAAAAAAACUCUACUAUUCCAAGACAAAGAAUGGCCUUUUAUGUUAUAAUUUUUAUUUUUUUUUUGGUUUAAUAAAUGUCAUGUGAAUAUGAUGAAAUUGACUGGGUGAUUUAUCAAUUCUAUUUCCAAAAUUUAUUACUAGGUUAUUGAAUGGUUUGAUUCAGAUUCAAAAUUAGGUUCAGGGAUGUAAUAGUUUUAAUUUUUAAAUGUCAGGGACGAAUUUGCUUCAUUUUAAAAGUAAAGGACGAAAAGAAUAUUUUUGCGAAAUGUGAAGGAUGAAAUAGGUCAUUUUUCCUUUCUAUUGUAUUAUACUUUUUAAUAUGUUGAAUUUUGUGUUUUACCCUUUAGUAGUCAUUGAAACUUUAGGAAAUAAAAUAAAAUAUUUGUAAAGGAGGAAUGACAAAAUAAUUAAAGAUGUGACAUACGAUAAAAGAGGUAGGAUACAGUGGGUCAUAAUAUGCAAAAAAUGGCAAGUAUUAAGCUACUAAAAAUAAAUGGUAGAAAGAAAGUCCACUUUUGGAAGUUUGAAGUCAAUAUAGCAGCUGAGUCAAAAAAAAAAAAGUCAAUAUAGCAGCCUGUAGAUGUGCUGCAAUCCCCUUAGAACCGGGCUCCGUGUCGUCUUCACCCUUCACUAAUUAGCAACUUGAGCACAUUGCAGACAAACCUUUCCUCUUUGCCUUUGGGGUUAGAAGAUGGGAAAACGCGUCUGCUUCUUCUAUACUUUUGGGCUGUAACGCAGCAGCAUUUAGCAACUGUAAUGAAGUUAAUAAAGUUUAACAGAAGGAUAACAUCAAGGUUUUAGACAAUUAUCCUAGAUCCAAACCUUCCAAUUGCCUGAACCAUAAAGGACUUUAACAUCUUUGGCUCCCGGUUUGAGUGCGCUAGGCUCAAAGAUUGGCGAAGAACGUUUGGCACGGUUAAAUUGAAAACCAGCAUUAAAUGGUGACAGUCCAUUUUGUAUCCUUCCAUUUUUUUUUGUUUGGAUCCAUUUUGGUUCUCUUUUGCAUGGGCGCAAUCUGUAGCAAUAGAUGCUGAUGCAGAUCAGCAGAUGGAUGCUUCCAGUUCCAUAUGGGAUGAAUUGUGAUCAAAGUAUUAAUCUAUCCUUAUGGCUUUGUUUCAUGUUUACCUGCUUGGCAAUGAGAAAAGCCAUGCACGGCUUUCUUUAUUUGUUGAGAGACUGAUCACAUCAAAACCAAGAGAUUCAUCACCUCAAACCGCGCAUGAUUUUUAAUUUAUCAAGUCAGUCAAGAAUUGUGUGGUAGCUUUGUGGGCUGGGAAAGUGGGAAUGCGCCAGAAUUUGCAGAUUGGUUGUGGUCCUGUGGAGUGGACCUGCGCGCAUUGCUAGCUUUGAGUGAUUGGAAAAGUCGGGCGAAUGGAUAAAUAUUGAAUACAUGCAUGCAUGAUAUAAAGUCAUUAGCAACCAAUGUCAAAUAGUCAUUGCAGAAGACUUGUGGGUUCCUCUUUGAUGUCUUGGACCAUUUCGAUAUGUGUUCUUUGAACAUAAUUGUGUGCUUAUCAUUAAUGGCAUGAUGGUAUAAUCUUUCUUUCCUGUCUCUUUUUGUUAUGCGCGCAAGAAUGAUCAACAUCGACAAGUUUGCUUGCGGUUGGUUGUUAGAUGCACGAUUUUGAUUUACUUAUUUGUUUUUGGUAAAUAAAAGUUUGAUUUUAAAGGAGAGGAACAUAGUUCAGGCUAAGGCUCUGUUUGGUAUGAUAUAAAGUAUUUUCCUUAAGAAAAUAUUUUCCAUGGAAGUUCUUUUCUGGGAAAAUAUUCACAUUUUUCAAUGUUUUCUGAUGUUUGGUUGAAAUUUUUAACUACAUUUUUAUUAUCAAAAUUCAACUCCUUCCGCCACUCGCUUUUCUCUUCCACUGCUGGAAACCGAUCUUCCUAAUUCCUACCACUAAAAAUAGCAGAACCGCUCAAAAUGGAAUAAUCCAAGUCAGGCAUAAGGACAAUUCGUUGACUCAUAACUAUUGGCGCCAUAAAAGACAUUACCAAGCUAGACAUAUCAAGACCAUGAAAUGGCUGGUGAUUAAGGUCAAUCAAUGAAAGUGAAAGAACAGGCAUAAAUAUCUUCUCAAGUUGAAGAAAUAGGCUCUGUUCUUUUUCAUAUGAUUAGUGCUCUUAUUGACUCGUAUAUGAAAUUUGGUUUAAAGAUCAUAUACUAGCGCUCAAACCACAACCUCAAAGGCAUUAAAAUCCAGGCAAAUUUGAGCUAAAGAUACAUAAUUUUGAUUAAGAAAACAGUGUAAAGAAAAUUAAAAUGACUGAAGAAAGACAGUGGGAAUUGAUAAUAAUCCAAAUUGUUAACAAAUUCGUAGUGUUUGCGUCACCAGUAAAUUCAUCAGCAUCAAAAGCACAAUGUCAAAGAGAUCAGAGUGAGUAGGGUGAGGCCUUUUUUUUUUUUUGAAUAUGCUACAAGCUUUGAAAGUUUGACAAAUACCUUUAAUAGGCGGCCACAUGCGUUUAUAAAAACAAUUUCGAUAAGUCCGGAAGGGAAGUUAUUUUUCACAAGAUGAACAAAAAUCUUUUACACAGUAAAAUAUUUUCAUUAACUUUUGUGCAACCAAAUAAGGGAAAUUAGGAAAAUAUUUUCCUGAAAAAGAUUUCACUUGAAACAAAUGGACCCGAAAUGAUACUCAUAUACAAUAUUUGUUUAAGACCUGUCUGAAUGAAUCAAUGGGUAUGAAAAGCCGAAUCUGAGGGUUUCAUCAUUAGCUAUUUUGCUAGUUAUUCAACUUGAUUAUCCCUUUGUCCUAAUUUUUUUUAUGAAACAAAAUCAAAACAGAAGCAAAAAAAAUUAGUAAAUAAAUUAAAGGGACACGUAUCUCUCUCACCACCUUCUGUUCCCCUUCCCUCUGUCCCCUCAAAAUCGCCUCAAAGCUAUGUACCUAGUUCGUAUCUAUAUCGCUUUAAAUGGAUUUGUGGCCACACAAGUUUCAUUUCAUUCCAUUUCAGAAUAAAAUAAUCUUUUUUAACUUUUGUUGUAGUACCAUAUUUUAAUGCAAUCGGAUCAUAUCUAAUCUUUAAUUAUAUUAUCUUUCCAGCUAAAGGAUAAACUUGCGAGAAAUAGAAUUUGUGAGAGGACUCGUCGUUUAAUUAAAUUUGGCAAGACCAACUUGUGCAGUGAUAUUUGGGAGGAUGAUCCAAGAAAGAGAAUAUAUUAUUAAAGAUAUUCCAAUGAAAGAUACGUUAGGAGAGGCAAGUGUUACCUUUACACAAAAUGAAGUCCCAGAUUUUAAAAAAUUGCUCAGCAAAAACGAACUAAAAUAUUCAUAAACAUGCAAAGAUAAUGUAAGUUUGCAGAAAAUUAUUAUAGGAAAAGAUGCUUUUUUGUCAGCUUUAAUUGAGGAAAAUAAGAAUAUCAUAAGUAGGAAGAGCUACAAUGCUCGAUUCUAUUAUACAAGCAUUGUUGAUCUAGAAAAUGUUGGAUAAGACAUAAAAGAAGGCAUGGGUGCAUUCCGGCUCAAUCUAUCAAAAGGGCCCUCACAGAACAAGGAAAGAAAAAGCAAAAUACCAAUCUGGGCAGCUUGGAUUUAUUGCAAACAGGAUACAAGUCUUACGAUCAAACCAGAAGAGCCAUAAUCAAUACAAUAUUGCAGAAGCUCAACACGAAGCUUCUUUAUUCGGUGCAUAAAACUCUCAAAUCAUACUUGAUGCUAUGCUCACAAUUACCCAAACCAAGUUUUAACUUUUAAUAGUUUUAUUUUUUUUUUCUCUCAAGUUAAAGGAUUUCCACAAAAUCAAUAUUUGACAUACGCACUGGUGGUGUUGACAUCUUUGGCGAGAGUCAAAAGCAGUGGCAUAAGCAAGCACUUCGAAGUGUCUUGCUUGUAGACAAAUCCCUUGCAAUUGCAAUCAUUGGUGCACUUGUCUCUGCAUGCUCCAAAUUCCAUUUCCACUUCUUGACUAUCAGAAGACCACUGGUGGUUCAAGAAGGAUUGCACCCCAUCAAGCUUGAAAUAUUUUGCCUUUGGUUUCUUCCCACACGAGCCCAACUUUGGUGGUUGACAAUUUUCUGUCCAUGCCAAGAGCCCUUUUGGUGUAGGACAUGCCACACACAUCCCAUUUUGGCACAAUCCAAAAUUACCACAUUUUGUCGGCAAAGCACAUGCUGUUGCAAGAUCACUUGGAAAGAAAGUAUAGGUCUGCAUCCAUCUAUCAAAUCUGACUUUGUCAUAGUAAGUAUAAGCCUUGACAUUGCCGUCAGUUUCAAGCCUCAGAAAAGAGUACGUUGCAUUGUAAUUUAGUUUACUGAGUUGUUGAAUCCCG
rnacentral:lncRNA from 1 species